rnacentral:rRNA from 1 species
GCUAGGAUGUGAUGGGGAAGCCCUUCGGGGCGAAGUAGCUGAUUUCACACUGUCAAGAAAAGCUUCUAUCGAGUUUAAAGGCGCCCGUACCGUAAACCGACACAGGUGGGUGAGGAGAGUAUCCUAAGGCCAGCGAGAGAACUAUUGUUAAGGAACUCGGCAAAGUGACCCUGUAACUUAGGGAGAAGGGGUGCCUGUCUAAGACAGGCCGCAGAGAAUAGGCCCAAGCGACUGUUUACCAAAAACACAGGUUUCUGCUAAGUCGCAAGGCGAUGUAUAGGAGCUGACGCCUGCCCGGUGCUGGAAGGUUAAGGGGAUCUGUUAGAGCAAUCGAAGCAGUGAACUUAAGCCCCAGUAAACGGCGGCCGUAACAAUAACGGUCCUAAGGUAGCGAAAUUCCUUGUCGGGUAAGUUCCGACCCGCACGAAAGGCGUAACGAUUUGGGCACUGUCUCGACAAUAGACUCGGUGAAAUUGUAAUCCCGGUGAAGAUGCCGGGUGCCUGCGACAGGACGGAAAGACCCCAUGGAGCUUUACUGUAGCUUGACGUUGGGUCUUGGUACUACAUGUACAGGAUAGGUGGGAGACUAUGAAGCAUGGACGCCAGUCUGUGUGGAGUCAUCCUUGGGAUACCACCCUUGUAGUACUGGGAUCCUAACCAUAGGCCUUGAAUCAGGUCUUAGAACACCGUCAGGUGGGCAGUUUGACUGGGGCGGUCGCCUCCUAAAAAGUAACGGAGGCGCUCAAAGGUUUCCUCAGCACGGUCGGAAAUUGUGCGAAGAGUGUAAAGGCAAAAGGAAGCUUGAUUGCAAGACAUACAGGUCGAGCAAGGACGAAAGUCGGACUUAGUGAUCCGGUGGUACCGCAUGGAAGGGCCAUCGCUCAACGGAUAAAAGCUACCCUGGGGAUAACAGGCUUAUCUCCCCCAAGAGUCCACAUCGACGGGGAGGUUUGGCACCUCGAUGUCGGCUCAUCACAUCCUGGGGCUGUAGUAGGUCCCAAGGGUUGGGCCGUUCGCCCAUUAAAGUGGUACGCGAGCUGGGUUCAGAACGUCGUGAGACAGUUCGGUCCCUAUCCGUCGCAGGCGUAGGAAAUUUGAGAAGACCUGUCCUUAGUACGAGAGGACCGGGAUGGACGUACCUCUGGUGUACCAGUUGUUCUGCCAAGGGCAUGGCUGGGUAGCUAUGUACGGAAUGGAUAAGCGCUGAGAGCAUCUAAGCGCGAAGCCAACUUCAAGAUAAGAUUUCCCACCGUAAGGGUAGGACCCCAGGAAGACUACCUGGUUGAUAGGUCGAAGGUGUAAGUGCAGUAAUGUAUUUAGCUUAUCGAUACUAAUAGGUCGAGGACUUGACCU